rnacentral:rRNA from 1 species
GACGAACCGUGCGAACGUUAUUCGGAAUCACUGGGCUUAAAGCGCGUGUAGGCGGGUCGGUGCGUCGGCCGCUGAAAUCCCCCGGCUCAACCGGGGAAGGGGCGCCGAUACGACCGGCCUGGAGCGACGUAGGGGGAACUGGAACUUCCGGUGGAGCGGUGAAAUGCGUUGAGAUCGGAAGGAACGCCCGUGGCGAAAGCGAGUUCCUGGACGUCGGCUGACGCUGAGACGCGAAAGCCAGGGGAGCAAACGGG